rnacentral:rRNA from 1 species
AUGCUUCUCAAGCCUUACCAGUUGGGCACACUGCUCCUUCUGGUGGCUGCCGGCUCCGGCCCCGCCGCCACCGGCGGCGAAGACGGCUUUGAAGGUCAACAGUUCGCCUACAACGGCUUCAAGGGCGCGAACCUGACGCUCGAUGGCGCGGUCGUCACGUCGAAGGGCCUCCUCGUGCUGACCGACGGUACCAGCCAGAUUAAAGGCCAGGCCUUCCACCCGUCUCCUCUGCCGUUCCUCGCCGUGACGAACGGCACCGGCGCCGUGCGGUCCUUCUCCACUACUUUCGUUUUCGCCAUCUUCGGGCCGUACACCGACCUGAGCAGCCAUGGCAUGGCCUUCUUCAUCUCCGCUUCCAGGGAGGUGCUCUCCACUGCGCUGCCAGGCCGGUACUUGGGCCUCCUCAACAGCAGCAACGAUGGCAGCCGGACCGCUCGCGUCUUCGCCGUGGAGCUUGACACGAUCCUUAACCCCGAGUUCAACGACAUCAGCGGCAACCACGUCGGCAUCGACGUUGAUAGCCUGGUGUCGCUCGAUUCCACGGACGCCGGGUACUACGAUGACGGCACCGGGCGGUUCCUGAACCUAAGCCUGAUAAGCCGGACGGCCAUGCAAGUGUGGGUGGACUACGACAGCGGUGCAACGAAGAUCACGGUGACCAUGGCUCCCCUCGGCGUGGCCAGGCCGAAGAAGCCCCUCCUGCAGAUCACAGUCGACCUCUCGGGUGUGGUGCAGAGCACGGCGUAUGUUGGCUUCUCGUCCGCAACAGGCAUCAUGAACGCACGCCACUUCGUCCUCGGCUGGAGCUUCGCGAUGGAUGGACUAGCACCGGCACUCGACAUCUCGAUGCUGCCAGCCUUGCCACAGGUCUGGCCGAACCAAAGGUUCAUGUCCGUCUCAGUGAAAAUGGGGCUGGCCUUAGCAUCGGUGACCCUGGUUUCGGUAGGCAUUGGAAUCUACAUCUUUGUAAGAUGGCGGCGUCUCAAAUACUCGGAGGUGCAUGAGGACUGGGAGAUUCCGUUCGGCCCGAACCGAUUCUCUUACAAGGACUUGUUUCAUGCGACUGGGGGGUUUAGUGACAAAAACCUGCUUGGGAGGGGAGGUUUUGGAAGUGUCUAUAAGGGUGUGCUUCGCAAGCCUGACAUGAAGGUCGCUGUGAAAAGGUUGUCACACAAUUCAAGACAAGGGAAAAGGGAGUUCAUCGCCGAGGUAGUAAGCAUUGGUCGUCUUCGACACCGGAAUAUCGCGCGAUUGUUGGGCUACUGCAGACGGAAGGGUACUAGAUCAUCAGAGGUGUGGCCUCGAGCUUGUUGUAUCUGCAUGAGAAAUGGGAGCAGGUCGUUAUCCACCGAGAUAUAA